UACGGGGGGAGCAAGCGUUGUUCGGAUUUACUGGGCGUAAAGGGCGCGUAGGCGGCCACCGCAAGUCGGUUGUGAAAUCUCUGGGCUUAACCCAGAAAGGUCAACCGAUACUGCGGGGCUAGAGUGCAGAAGGGGCAACUGGAAUUCUCGGUGUAGCGGUGAAAUGCGUAGAUAUCGAGAGGAACACCUGCGGCGAAGGCGGGUUGCUGGGCUGACACUGACGCUGAAGCGCGAAAGCGUGGGGAGCAAACGGG
rnacentral:rRNA from 1 species